rnacentral:rRNA from 1 species
GUGACCUCGCUUGCGGGGGGAUCAGUGGCGAACGGGUGAGUAACACGUGGGCAACCUGCCCUCAGCUCUGGGAUAACUCCAAGAAAUUGGGGCUAAUACCGGAUAUUUCCGCUGACCGCAUGGUCUGGUGGUGGAAAGAUUUUUCGGCUGGGGAUGGGCCCGCGGCCUAUCAGCUUGUUGGUGGGGUAGUGGCCUACCAAGGCGACGACGGGUAGCCGGCCUGAGAGGGUGACCGGCCACACUGGGACUGAGACACGGCCCAGACUCCUACGGGAGGCAGCAGUGGGGAAUAUUGCGCAAUGGGCGAAAGCCUGACGCAGCGACGCCGCGUGGGGGAUGACGGCCUUCGGGUUGUAAACCUCUUUCAGCAGGGACGAAGCGAAAGUGACGGUACCUGCAGAAGAAGCACCGGCCAACUACGUGCCAGCAGCCGCGGUAAUACGUAGGGUGCAAGCGUUGUCCGGAAUUAUUGGGCGUAAAGAGCUCGUAGGCGGUUCGUCGCGUCGGCUGUGAAAACCUGAGGCUCAACCUCAGGCCUGCAGUCGAUACGGGCGAACUUGAGUACUGCAGGGGAGACUGGAAUUCCUGGUGUAGCGGUGAAAUGCGCAGAUAUCAGGAGGAACACCGGUGGCGAAGGCGGGUCUCUGGGCAGUAACUGACGCUGAGGAGCGAAAGCGU